UGGGGAAUUUUGGACAAUGGGCGAAAGCCUGAUCCAGCCAUGCCGCGUGAGUGAAGAAGGCCUUCGGGUUGUAAAGCUCUUUCGGCCGGAACGAAAUCGCACGGGAUAACACCUCGGGUGGAUGACGGUACCGGAAGAAGAAGCACCGGCUAACUACGUGCCAGCAGCCGCGGUAAUACGUAGGGUGCAGGCGUUAAUCGGAAUUACUGGGCGUAAAGCGUGCGCAGGCGGCUUCUUAAGUCAGAUGUGAAAUCCCCGGGCUCAACUUGGGAACUGCGUUUGAAACUGGGAAGCUAGAGUGUGGCAGAGGGGGGUGGAAUUCCACGUGUAGCAGUGAAAUGCGUAGAUAUGUGGAGGAACACCGAUGGCGAAGGCAGCCCCCUGGGCCCGCACUGACGCU
rnacentral:rRNA from 1 species